UACGUAGGGUGCUAGCGUUGCUCGGAAUCACUGGGCGUAAAGCGCACGUAGGCGGCUUUUUAAGUCAGAGGUGAAAUCCUGGAGCUCAACUCCAGAACUGCCUUUGAUACUGGAGAGCUUGAGUCCGGGAGAGGUGAGUGGAACUGCGAGUGUAGAGGUGAAAUUCGUAGAUAUUCGCAAGAACACCAGUGGCGAAGGCGGCUCACUGGCCCGGUACUGACGCUGAGGUGCGAAAGCGUGGGGAGCAAACAGG
rnacentral:rRNA from 1 species